rnacentral:rRNA from 1 species
AACGAACGCUGGCGGCGUGGAUAAGACAUGCAAGUCGAACGCUAAUACAAAGGUAGCAAUAUCGUUGUGUUGGAGUGGCGAAAGGGUGAUUAACACGUGGGCAAGUUACCGCGAGAUCUGGGAUAACCUGCUGAAAGGCAGGCUAAUACUGGAUAACACCUUGGAUCGGCAUCGAUUCAAGUUUAAAGCUGGGGACCCGCAAGGGCCUGGCGACUCGCGAUACGCCCGCGUCCUAUCAGCUAGUUGGCGGGGUAAAAGCCCACCAAGGCUAAGACGAGUAGCUGGUCUAAGAGGACGACCAGCCACACUGGAACUGAGACACGGUCCAGACACCUACGGGUGGCAGCAGUCGAGAAUUUUUCACAAUGGGCGAAAGCCUGACGAAGCAACGCCGCGUGGAGGAUGAAGGUCUUCGGAUUGUAAACUCCUGUCGACCGGGACGAAUGCACUCGACCUAAUACGUCGGAAUGUUGACGGUACCGGUGGAGGAAGCCACGGGCUAACGUCUGUGCCAGCAG